rnacentral:rRNA from 1 species
UACGUAGGUGGCAAGCGUUGUCCGGAAUUAUUGGGCGUAAAGCGCGCGCAGGCGGUCCUUUAAGUCUGAUGUGAAAGCCCUGGGCUCAACCUGGGAAUGGCAUUGGAAACUGGCGACCUAGAGUGCGGUAGAGGGUAGUGGAAUUCCCGGUGUAGCAGUGAAAUGCGCAGAUAUCAGGAGGAACACCGGUGGCGAAGGCGGGUCUCUGGGCCGAUACUGACGCUGAGGAGCGAAAGCGUGGGGAGCGAACAGG